GAUGAAGAACGUAGCGAAAUGCGAUAAGUAAUGUGAAUUGCAGAAUUCAGUGAAUCAUCGAAUCUUUGAACGCAUCUUGCGCUCCUUGGUAUUCCUUGGAGCAUGCCUGUUUGAGUAUCAUGAGCAAAUCUCAAAGUCAAUUCCUUUUGUUGAUUCAAUUGGUUUUGCUUUGGACUUGGAGGCCUUGCAGAUUUCACAGUCUGCUCCUCUUAAAUGCAUUAGCUGGAUCUCAGUAAUUAUGCUUGGUUCCACUCGGCGUGAUAAGUAUCACUCGCUGAGGACACUGUUAAAAAGGUGGCCAGGAAAAUACUGAUUGAACCGCUUCUAACGGUCUAUUAAGUUAGACAAUUACCCUUAAGUUUGAUCUCAAAUCAGGUAGGACUACCCGCUGAACUUAAGCAUAUCAAUAAGGGAGGA
rnacentral:misc_RNA from 1 species